rnacentral:rRNA from 1 species
AGAGUUUGAUCCUGGCUCAGGACGAACGCUGGCGGCGUGCCUAAUGCAUGCAAGUCGAGCGGGCUACGAUCUUCGGAUUGUAGCUUAGCGGCGAACGGGUGAGUAACACGUAGGUAAUCUACCCUUCAGAGGAGGACAACCUCAGGAAACUGAGGCUAAACCUUCAUACGUUCACUGGUAGGGAUACUGGCGAAGAAAGAGUUACCUUAGUGGUAGCUGCUGAAGGAUGAGCCUGCGGCCCAUCAGGUAGUUGGUGAGGUAACGGCUCACCAAGCCGAAGACGGGUAACCGGUCUGAGAGGAUGUCCGGUCACACUGGGACUGAGACACGGCCCAGACUCCUACGGGAGGCAGCAGCAGGGAAUCUUGGGCAAUGGGCGAAAGCCUGACCCAGCGACGCCGCGUGGAGGAAGAAGUCCUUCGGGGCGUAAACUCCUGGACUGGGGGACGAGUAAGGACGGUACCCCAGUAGAAAGGGACGGCUAACUACGUGCCAGCAGCCGCGGUAAAACGUAGGUCCCGAGCGUUGUUCGGAUUCACUGGGUGUAAAGGGCGCGUAGGUGGUUGUCUGUGUCUCAUGUGAAAACUCAGGGCUCAACUCUGAGAUUGCGUGGGAAACUAGGCAGCUAGAGGACGGUAGAGGGGAGUGGAAUUCCCGGUGUAGCGGUAAAAUGCGUAGAUAUCGGGAGGAACACCGGUGGCGAAGGCGGCUCUCUGGGCCGAUCCUGACGCUGAGGCGCGAAAGCUAGGGGAGCGAACCGGAUUAGAUACCCGGGUAGUCCUAGCCGUAAACGAUGGGUGCUAGGUGUUGGGGGGGUAAAGACCCUUCAGUGCCGAAGCCAACGCGAUAAGCAUC